rnacentral:rRNA from 1 species
GGCUCAGGAUGAACGCUAGCGACAGGCUUAACACAUGCAAGUCGAGGGGCAGCAUAGAAGUAGCAAUACUUGGUGGCGACCGGCGCACGGGUGAGUAACGCGUAUGCAACCUACCUAUCAGAGGGGAAUAACCCGGCGAAAGUCGGACUAAUACCGCAUAAAACAGGUGCACCGCAUGGUGAUAUUUGUUAAAGAAAUUCGCUGAUAGAUGGGCAUGCGUUCCAUUAGGUAGUUGGUGAGGUAACGGCUCACCAAGCCGACGAUGGAUAGGGGAACUGAGAGGUUGGUCCCCCACACUGGUACUGAGACACGGACCAGACUCCUACGGGAGGCAGCAGUGGGGAAUAUUGGGCAAUGGAGGAAACUCUUACCCAGCCAAUGCCGCGUGAGUGAUGAAGGUCUUUGGAUUGUAAAGCUCUUUGAUUGGGGACGAAUAAAUGACGGUACCCAAAGAACAAGCCCCGGCUAACUAUGUGCCAGCAGCCGC